AGUAAAAAAUAAAGCCUUGAAUGGAUAUCUUGGCAUAAAAAGAAAUAGGGCGUUAAAUCCAACGAAAUGCUACUAGGAGGUGGAUAAACCCCUGUGAUCAGUAGAUACCCUUUGAGUAAACUCAAUGCUUGUAGAAGCAAAUAACAUGUUGAACUGAAACAUCUAAGUAAACAUGGUAGAGAAAUCAACCGAGAGUCCGUUAGUUGUGGCGAGCGAACGCGGAUUAGACCAGUUACAAUACUAUAUUACUAUUCAUACGUAAUUAAUUCGUUAAUUACUAACCUUAUUUAAAUCUUUGGAAAAGGAUGCCAAAGCGAGUGAUAGCCUCGUAGGACUUGGUUGUGAAUACUAAAUUGUAACAUAUGAGUAGACCGGGCGAGAUAACCUGGUCGAACAUGGGAGGCCCACCUUCCAAGUCUAAUAACUUUUUAUGACCGAUAGAGAACAAGUACCGUAAGGGAAAGAUGAAAAGAACCCUGAAAAGGGAGUGAAAUAGAUCUUGAAAUUCAUUGCUAACAAGCAGUCGGAGCAAUAUAUAGUAUUUAUAUUAUAUAGUUGUGACGGCGUACCUUUUGCAUAAUGGGCCAGCGAGUAUAAAGCAUUAGCAAGCUUAAGCUAAUAAGUGUAGGCGAAGAGAAAUCGAGUCCGAAAAACGGCGUGUGCGGCAUUUUCGCACAUAGUUAAUGCUUUAUGACCCGAAACCAGGUGAUCUAAUUAUGAACAGGUUGAAGACUGGGUAAGACUAGUUGGAGGACCGAACUUGUAGGCGUUGCAAAGCCUUAAGAUGAUUUGUGAUUAGGGGUGAAAGGCCAAUCAAACCUGGAGUUAGCUGGUUCUCUGCGAAAUCUAUUUAGGUAGAGCGUCCAAUUAGUUCGGUACGGGGUAGAGCACUGUUUAGGCUAGGGGAGCCCAAAGCUUUACCAACCCUAGAUAAACUCCGAAUACGUACCGAGUAUAUGGACAGACAGGCUAUAGGCGCUAAGGUCUAUAGCCGAGAGGGAAACAGCCCAGACCAUCCGCUAAGGUCCCUAAACAAUUACUGAGUGGUUAAGGAAGUCUUGAACCAAAAACAACCAGUAGGUAAGCUUAGAAGCAGCUAUCCUUUAAAGAAAGCGUAAUAGCUCACUGGUCUAGGUUUGGGGCGCCAAAGAUUCAACGGGGCUUAAGUAAUUUGCCGAAGCGAUGGGUGAUAAUAAUAUAAAUUAUCGCGGUAGCAGAGCGUUUAGUAGGCCUAUGAAGAUUUUCCGUGAGGAAAGUUGGAGGUAUCAGAAGUGAGAAUGCUGGCAUGAGUAACGUAAAAUCCUGUGAAAUUCAGGAUCGCCGGAAAUCCAAGGGUUUCUGCGCACUGUCUGUCAGCGCAGAGUUAAACGGACCCUAAGAAAAUCUACUAAUAUAUUCGAUGGGAAAUAGGUAACUUUCUUCAAAUAAUCCUAAUUCAUCUCUAUGUACGAAAAAAUACCUGCAAUAGGACUAAUUGGUUUAUCCGAGUAGUAAAAUUGGAAGUUAUUUUAUUACAUUUGCAUCAUUUUUUCCUGGAAAAUCGUAGAGAUAUUAAAGACCGUACCCUAAACCGACACUGGUGGAUUAGUAUAUUUUACUAAGGCGAAUGAGAUAACCACAUUGAAGGAACUCGGCAAAAUUCCUUCGUAACUUCGGGAAAAGAAGGACCAAAAUGUUUUUUGGUGACACAAAAUAGGGGAUAGCGACUGUUUAUUAAAAACACAGGUCUCUGCUAAAUCGGAAGAUGAUGUAUAGGGACUGACUCCUGCCCGGUGCCGAAAACUUAAGAGGACGGGUUAGCUUAAGUGCACGCUCAGAAUCUAUGGCUCGGUAAACGGCGGCCGUAACUCUAACGGUCCUAUGGUAGCGAAAUUCCUUGUCUACUAAUUAUAGACCUGCAUGAAUGGAGUAACGACUGUCCCUCUGUCUCCAAUGUGGACUCAGUGAAAUUGAAUUCUCCGUGAAGAUGCGGAGUACCAACGGUUAGACGGUAAGACCCUAUGCACCUUUACUAUAAGCUUACAUUGACGAAGAAGAUUUACUGUGUAGGAUAGGUGGGAGAUUAAUAUAUAGCUUCGGUUAUAUUUUAGUCA
rnacentral:rRNA from 1 species